UACGUAGGGGGCAAGCGUUGUCCGGAUUUAUUGGGCGUAAAGAGCGUGUAGGCGGCCUGAAAGGUCAGCUGUGAAAACUCGAGGCUCAACCUCGAGACGUCGGUUGAAACCAUCUGGCUAGAGUCCGGAAGAGGAGUGUGGAAUUCCCGGUGUAGCGGUGAAAUGCGCAGAUAUCGGGAAGAACACCCGUGGCGAAGGCGGCACUCUGGGACGGUACUG
rnacentral:rRNA from 1 species